GACGAACGCUGGCGGCGUGCUUAACACAUGCAAGUCGAACGGAAAGGCCCUGCUUUUGUGGUGUGCUCGAGUGGCGAACGGGUGAGUAACACGUGAGUAACCUGCCCUUGACUUUGGGAUAACUUCAGGAAACUGGGGCUAAUACCGGAUAGGAGCUCCUGCUGCAUGGUGGGGGUUGGAAAGUUUCGGCGGUUGGGGAUGGACUCGCGGCUUAUCAGCUUGUUGGUGGGGUAGUGGCUUACCAAGGCUUUGACGGGUAGCCGGCCUGAGAGGGUGACCGGCCACAUUGGGACUGAGAUACGGCCCAGACUCCUACGGGAGGCAGCAGUGGGGAAUAUUGCACAAUGGGCGGAAGCCUGAUGCAGCAACGCCGCGUGCGGGAUGACGGCCUUCGGGUUGUAAACCGCUUUCGCCUGUGACGAGGCGUGAGUGACGGUAAUGGGUAAAGAAGCACCGGCUAACUACGUA
rnacentral:rRNA from 1 species